AUUGCCUCAGCUCGGGCACGAGUGCUGAGACCUCACGCGCUGCAUGGCGAGGGACUUCCCAUGAGGUCAAAGCGGCGCAGGUCAUGCAAAAGGACGCGUUCGCUGUUUGGUCCAAAAAAUUUGAAAACUCAAUAAAAUUAUCCUGCACACAACGAAUCCAGUGUCAGCAGUUCGUUUUGUUUUUCUAAGUAAUAAUACUUUGUGCCUUGGCCUUCGAAGUAAAGGAUGAUGGAGCUUGACAGAGAUGACUGCCAAAGUGAUGAGUCCACCGUGGAAGAUGUAGAUGACGCCACGUAUUCACUUGGUGACCUGAGUUGUGGGGAUGUUCAGCUGUGGGCUACAGAUCGAUGUAAGAGUGGUAGUGCCAUCAUGGUGUACAGGCCUAUGGAAGGUGCAGUGAUCCAUGGAAUUUGCAAACUGCUGACAAUGAGACAGGCGAGUGUUACUGAGGCGACGGAGUCAUUCCUGCAUGUUAUUACGACACGGUUACACAAGGCAUCAGGUACUGCAAAUCUGCUACGCCAGGAAGUGUGCCAGCUGAAGGCAUGCAAGGGUGCUGAUAUUUCGCAAGCAUGGCAACAAAUGCUGUCCGUCAUCGCAACAGCUAUUCCCGAAGUGAAUAGUCCACAGGGUAUUCACCUUGAGUGCAUUCGCCGAUAGUGUGACUUUCGUCGCACAGAACCUUCUUCAGUUGGUCAGGUGACUCGGCGUGGCUCGGAAGCUCUGUAUAAGACAAAAUACGACACAGAUAAAAACAACUGAACCAGUGA